ACUAGAACCAUCUGGAGUGAGAGGGGUGGUGAUACAGAGCUGGGACAGAUUUCUCUGGGUGUUUCCUCCCCUACAGCAUGUUUUUUAGAAGUGAAAUCAGGUUACGAAGAGCACUAAGGCAGCUUUGAAGGGGAAGUCCUGAGAGAACAGGCUGCAGCUUCGGGGUGCGCAUCCUUUGAUACACCUGACCGGUACUCCUCAGAACUGUCAAGGUCAUCAAAAACAAGAUAACAUCACUAUUGUAAAACCUCAGAUUGGUGCUCAAGAUAGUUUUCAGACCCUGCACUUGAUGGAUCAGCUGGCACUACUCAGAUCAACACACUGGCUCACCUGGUCUUGUGGCCCCCACCCAGGAAAUGACUCAGCACAAGAGGACAGCUUUGACUCCCUGUGAUUUCAUCUCAGACCCAACCAGUCAGCUCUCCCUACUACUUGGCCCCCUACCCACCAAAUUAUCCUUAAAAAACCCCAGCCUCUAAA
rnacentral:lncRNA from 1 species